rnacentral:rRNA from 1 species
AUUCCAGCUCCAAUAGCGUAUAUUAAAGUUGUUGCAGUUAAAAUGCUCGUAGUUGGAUUUCUGGCGUCGCCGCCCGGUUGGCCUCGAAAGGGGUAUGUACUGGGGCGCGCGUUGCCAUCCUCGGGGGAAGGUCGUCUGGCAUUAGGUUGUCGGACGGUCGACGCUCGUCGUUUACUGUGAACAAAUUAGAGUGUUCAAAGCAGGCUUAGGCCGUUGAAUACAUUAGCAUGGAAUAAUGAGAUAGGACUUUGGUGGUCUAUUUUGUUGGUUUGCACGCCGAAGUAAUGAUUAAUAGGGGCGGUUGGGGGUAUUCGUAUUCAAUUGUCAGAGGUGAAAUUCUUGGAUUUAUGGAAGACGAACUACUGCGAAAGCAUUUACCAAGGAUGUUUUCAUCA